rnacentral:lncRNA from 1 species
ACAUUAUCACUGUCAGCUCGCUGAAGGGGGCCGGAAAGGCCCUGUCCUGUGGUGAUGAAGGAGGGGGCAGGGCGAAAGGGUCUUCUAGGUCAGGGAAGGAGACGUGACAUGGUCACCAGAAGCCAGCUGUGCCCUCAGGCCUCCUGUCAGUGCUGUAGCACCCAGGAGGCCUGGCGAUGAAGCACCCCAGAAGCUGCCAGAGUGGUAGGAAACAGCCUGACUGCAUAAAGCUUCAUUCACUAAGCACUCCCAUCUGUUCUAGAUGACUUCAUGCAGAAGAUCCUCGCUCUGCUCCAAGAUGCAGAGGAGCUGGUGGGACAGCAGCAGCCUCCAGGGCAGGAGACUGAGGCAGCUGUAGAAAGCCUGGCCCCAGCAUGCAGGAGGAAGUCCCAGGAGAAAAAGCCCAGCAGCCUCCGGAGAGCCUUUUCUCAUAAAAGACACAGCUCCAAGGAGCCCAGGAGAGUGGGGACUGUGGGGGCCGCCACCCCUGAGCCCCGGCCACCCAAGAGGCCCAGCUUCCUGCCCCUGUGUGUUGGCGGCUCUGACCCUGAAGGCCUGGAGUUCCGGGAGCCCUGGGCCGCAGAAGAGACAGCAUCUGGGUUCUCAGAAGCAGCCUCCCAGGCCAGGAGCUGCACACCGGACGGGGGCCAUCAGCCGGAGGGAGCACGAGAAUCUAGUCAGUACCUCCCCUGCCCUUGGGGGGCUUCGCUUGUGCACAAGUGCCACGGGCUGAUCAGCAAAGGGGGGCAGAUGCAGGUAGAGACACCUGUCUCUUUUGCAGGGAGGUGGGGGGACCUUGGAUGCCCUCUCAUGGGUUUGCUUGAAUGCUACAUAUAAGACCCUGGUCUAGCCGAGCGUGGUGGUGCACACCUAUAAUCCCAGCACUCAGGAGGCUGAGGCAGGAGGAUCGCUGCAAGUUCAAAGCCAGCCUGGGCUACAUAGUGAGAUCCUGUCUCAAAAAACCAAACUCCUGGCUUGCUUGGUCUGGUGACCAU